rnacentral:rRNA from 1 species
UACGUAGGGAGCAAGCGUUGUCCGGAAUCAUUGGGCGUAAAGCGCGCGUAGGCGGCCUCGUAAGUCCGUUGUGAAAGUCAAAGGCUCAACCUUUGAAAGCCGAUGGAUACUGUGAGGCUAGAGUCCGGAAGAGGCGAGUGGAAUUCCUGGUGUAGCGGUGGAAUGCGCAGAUAUCAGGAGGAACACCAAUAGCGAAGGCAGCUCGCUGGGACGGUACUGACGCUGAGGCGCGACAGCGUGGGGAGCAAACAGG